AUUGAACGCUGGCAGCGUGCCUUACACAUGCAAGUCGAACGGCAGCACGGGAGCAAUCCUGGUGGCGAGUGGCGAACGGGUGAGUAAUAUAUCGGAACGUGCCCAGUAGUGGGGGAUAACUGCUCGAAAGAGCAGCUAAUACCGCAUACGACCUGAGGGUGAAAGGGGGGGAUCGCAAGACCUCUCGCUAUUGGAGCGGCCGAUAUCAGAUUAGCUAGUUGGUGGGGUAAAGGCCUACCAAGGCAACGAUCUGUAGUGGGUCUGAGAGGACGACCAGCCACACUGGGACUGAGACACGGCCCAGACUCCUACGGGAGGCAGCAGUGGGGAAUUUUGGACAAUGGGCGCAAGCCUGAUCCAGCAAUGCCGCGUGCAGGAAGAAGGCCUUCGGGUUGUAAACUGCUUUUGUCAGGGAAGAAAUCCUCUAGGUUAAUACCCUUGGGGGGAUGACGGUACCUGAAGAAUAAGCACCGGCUAACUACGUGCCAGCCGCCGCAGUAACAC
rnacentral:rRNA from 1 species